AUUGAACGCUGGCGGCAGGCUUAACACAUGCAAGUCGAGCGGAUGAAAGUAGCUUGCUACUGGAUUCAGCGGCGGACGGGUGAGUAAUGCUUAGGAAUCUGCCUAUUAGUGGGGGACAACGUUCCGAAAGGAGCGCUAAUACCGCAUACGUCCUACGGGAGAAAGCAGGGGACCUUCGGGCCUUGCGCUAAUAGAUGAGCCUAAGUCGGAUUAGCUAGUUGGUAGGGUAAAGGCCUACCAAGGCGACGAUCUGUAGCGGGUCUGAGAGGAUGAUCCGCCACACUGGGACUGAGACACGGCCCAGACUCCUACGGGAGGCAGCAGUGGGGAAUAUUGGACAAUGGGGGGAACCCUGAUCCAGCCAUGCCGCGUGUGUGAAGAAGGCCUUUUGGUUGUAAAGCACUUUAAGCGAGGAGGAGGCUACCUAGAUUAAUACUUUAGGAUAGUGGACGUUACUCGCAGAAUAAGCACCGGCUAACUCUGUGCCAGCAGCCGCGGUAAUACAGAGGGUGCGAGCGUUAAUCGGAUUUACUGGGCGUAAAGCGUGCGUAGGCGGCCAAUUAAGUCAAAUGUGAAAUCCCCGAGCUUAACUUGGGAAUUGCAUUCGAUACUGGUUGGCUAGAGUAUGGGAGAGGAUGGUAGAAUUCCAGGUGUAGCGGUGAAAUGCGUAGAGAUCUGGAGGAAUACCGAUGGCGAAGGCAGCCAUCUGGCCUAAUACUGACGCUGAGGUACGAAAGCAUGGGGAGCA
rnacentral:rRNA from 1 species